GCCUGGCUAGCUCAGUCGGUAGAGCAUGAGACUCUUAAUCUCAUUGCCAUGGACUCAAGCCCCAUGCUGGGCA